UUGUCCGGAGAGAAAUGGGUCGGGUCAAUACCUGGGGGCAAUGACGGUACCGGAAGAAUAAGGACCGGCUAACUGCGUGCCAGCAGCCGCGGUAAUACGUAGGGUCCAAGCGUUAAUCGGAAUUACUGGGCGUAAAGCGUGCGCAGGCGGUUGUGCAAGACCGAUGUGAAAUCCCCGAGCUUAACUUGGGAAUUGCAUUGGUGACUGCACGGCUAGAGUGUGUCAGAGGGGGGUAGAAUUCCACGUGUAGCAGUGAAAUGCGUAGAGAUGUGGAGGAAUACCGAUGGCGAAGGCAGCCCCCUGGGAUAACACUGACGCUCAUGCACGAAAGCGUGGGGAGCAAACAGGAUUAGAUACCCUGGUAGUCCACGCCCUAAACGAUGUCAACUAGUUGUUGGGGAUUCAUUUCCUUAGUAACGUAGCUAACGCGUGAAGUUGACCGCCUGGGGAGUACGGUCGCAAGAUUAAAACUCAA
rnacentral:rRNA from 1 species